rnacentral:rRNA from 1 species
AUUGAACGCUGGCGGCAGGCCUAACACAUGCAAGUCGAACGGCAGCACAGAAGAGCUUGCUCUUUGGGUGGCGAGUGGCGGACGGGUGAGUAAUGUCUGGGAAACUGCCCGAUGGAGGGGGAUAACUACUGGAAACGGUAGCUAAUACCGCAUAACGUCGCAAGACCAAAGUGGGGGACCUUCGGGCCUCACACCAUCGGAUGUGCCCAGAUGGGAUUAGCUAGUAGGUGGGGUAAUGGCUCACCUAGGCGACGAUCCCUAGCUGGUCUGAGAGGAUGACCAUGCACACGGGAACUGAGACACGGUCCAGACUCCUACGGGAGGCAGCAGUGGGGAAUAUUGCACAAUGGGCGCAAGCCUGAUGCAGCCAUGCCGCGUGUAUGAAGAAGGCCUUCGGGUUGUAAAGUACUUUCAGCGGGGAGGAAGGCGGUGAGGUUAAUAACCUCGCCGAUUGACGUUACCCGCAGAAGAAGCACCGGCUAACUCCGUGCCAGCCGCCGCGGUAA